CUUCGGACUGGCUUAGGGAGGUCGGCAACGACCACCCAGAGCCGGAAAGUUGGUCAAACUCGGUCAUUUAGAGGAAGUAAAAGUCGUAACAAGGUCUCCGUAGGUGAACCUGCGGAGGGAUCAUUA
rnacentral:rRNA from 1 species